GGUGCAUGAGACAUUCAGUGUGCGGUCAGAUGUGAGCCGUUUACUCUGCGGUACAUCAGCCCACAACAGCUCCUCUAAUCGACAUCACCCCUCCUCCUCCUUCCCAUUUUGUAUGAUCUCAGGGAAAAUGGUAUUUCAGAGCAGAGGUUGUGUUGACAGAGCCCGAGACAGCACAGAGCACAAGGCCGACCUUUCACCUUUCACCCUCCUCCUACCGACCCCAAACCUGGAAACACAGGAAGAAAGCAAGGUCGCCCAGAUGAGAGUGUCUGUCAACACGCAGAGGGAAUUGAAAGCUGGUUCAGAGGAAGGGAGGGGGAGACAGAAGUGAGGAGGGGAGGAGAGGGGUGCUGACAUUUGUGCUGGGAUAUAGAAAAGAGGAUAUAGAAACAUGCUGAAUGAAUCAGGCUGACCAAUAACUUUAAGAGCUCCAGUAAAUUGCUCUGUAUUUUGCUGGAGAUUAAACAGAAGGACAGUCAUAAUAGGAGCAGCCAGUUGAUCUCAUUCA